GUUCUGAUAACAAUUUGUGAGUAAUUGGUUUCAAAUUAGUCAUGUUUAACCUGUUCAGUCUUCACGUUCAAUGGUUUGUAAUCAUUUUUUUUUUCUCAGAAAGAUGCCAACUGGGCUAAACCCUCUUUCCACGAGUAGGAUACGUGACAGACGGACUUCUUUUUGAAGCCAAAACUAUUUAUACACCUUUUGAAACUGCGCCUUAAGUUCUUUGUGGCUUUUCGUUCUUUUUGUUUAUCGUUAAACUCAACACAUUAGAAUACAUUAUUAUGUCGAAAGAACAACAACAACUACUUACUUGCCGCCGUAGUGUCCUCAGUUUUUGUGCCAAAUAUGGAUUCAAAGGCAAUCGUCUACCGCGUCAAAGGCCGCCUGGACAAGGGUAAGUACCUCUGAGAAUCCUCCAGGAGUGGUCGUCCAAGAAAAUUGUAGUCAAAGCCUUUUAAGAACAGCAUGAUCUCUCUAUGACGGAGAUGAUCAUGGACGUCAAUGUUUCAAGGUCCAUCGUAUCAAGGGGCAUCAAAAAGGCUGGACGUGUCUCUACGAGCAGGAAAAGUACCCUUCCUGACAGGAGAGAUGGCGAAAAAGUGAACCAUUAGUUCUUUUCCUUUUUGUUUUGUUUUGCUGAACUGAAUAUAGUAUCUGAUGGCAAGCAAAGUCCUAGGCCUUCAGAAUCCGACACCCAAAUGUUGAGCUCUUAAAGAACUCUGUCGACGAGCAGUGGACUGCAGAGUCCUAAAUCAAAAACACCUGCAGAAAAUUGGCCGCCUAGUAGUCCUUACUUCUACCUACUGUAGUCAUAUUCAAAAUUUAUAUAAUGAUAAAUUGUUUAGGAUAGUAAAUAUAUAGAAAAAUAUACAUCUGGUUUUAGAAUCUGCAUGAAGAACAUUUAAAUGUUGUACGUAGACCAAAAACUCUUCAUCCUAGACGUUUGACGCGGACAAGUUAGUAAAAUUCAUGACUUCCCAAAUCAUGAAAUGUUGUCACGUACCACAUCACAAAUAUAAUAAGCUUUAAAUAAUUGUAUUAACCGUUAUUAAAA
rnacentral:lncRNA from 1 species